CUUCGCUUCUGGUCCAGAUUAUCAUUUCAGUGAAGUGGAAGAAUUUAAUAGAAAGAUUGACAAACAAUUGAGGAAAGAAGGGAGAUCAUUCAAUUGAGUUGAAGCCUACAGCCAUUCUAUCCAUGCAGCAACUGAUGGAAAAGGGGUUCGCUUUGGUGCUGUUGUGAUGUUGUCGCAAAAAUGACGUGUGUAUAU